rnacentral:rRNA from 1 species
GACGAACGCUGGCGGCGCGCCUAACACAUGCAAGUCGAACGAGCGAGAGAGAGCUUGCUUUCUCAAGCGAGUGGCGAACGGGUGAGUAACGCGUGAGGAACCUGCCUCAAAGAGGGGGACAACAGUUGGAAACGACUGCUAAUACCGCAUAAGCCCACAGGUCGGCAUCGACCAGAGGGAAAAGGAGCAAUCCGCUUUGAGAUGGCCUCGCGUCCGAUUAGCUAGUUGGUGAGGUAACGGCCCACCAAGGCAACGAUCGGUUGCCGGACUGAGAGGUUGAACGGCCACAUUGGGACUGAGACACGGCCCAGACUCCUACGGGAGGCAGCAGUGGGGAAUAUUGCACAAUGGGGGAAACCCUGAUGCAGCGACGCCGCGUGGAGGAAGAAGGUCUUCGGAUUGUAAACUCCUGUUGUUGAGGAAGAUAAUGACGGUACUCAACAAGGAAGUGACGGCUAACUACGUG